rnacentral:rRNA from 1 species
UACGUAGGGCGCAAGCGUUGUCCGGAUUCACUGGGUGUAAAGGGUGCGCAGGCGGGAAAGUAAGUUAGAGGUGAAAUCUCACAGCUCAACUGUGAAACGGCCUUUGAUACUGCUUUUCUUGAGUUAGGGAGAGGUUGAUGGAAUUCCAGGUGUAGCGGUGAAAUGCGCAGAUAUCGGGAGGAACACCAAUUGCGAAGGCAGCUCGCUGGGACGUUACUGACGCUGAGGCGCGAAAGCGUGGGGAGCAAACAGG